CUGCUCUUCCCGAGUGAACUCAAGUUCAGAAACCCCAUUAAAGGCUCUGGCCUAGAGUUUCCUCUUGCUCCUGUCUUUGCCACCCGACCAAAACCUGGAGCUUCCUCUUUGGCCCUGCACGGCAUGCAGUGACUCCCCUCUGGAAUCUGUUUAAAACCCACAUUGAUGAGCGUUCCUUCAGUGUCAAAUGGAAGAAGUUCUCCAACCUGAGGCUUUACCAAAACUCCAGAUCGCUACCAGCCUAGUUCCAUCCUUGUCCCAGCAGUGGCAAUGAAAUGGCUACGAGAUAAAAGC